rnacentral:rRNA from 1 species
AGAGUUUGAUCAUGGCUCAGAUUGAACGCUGGCGGCAGGCCUAACACAUGCAAGUCGAGCGGUAGAGAGAAGCUUGCUUCUCUUGAGAGCGGCGGACGGGUGAGUAAUGCCUAGGAAUCUGCCUGGUAGUGGGGGAUAACGUUCGGAAACGGACGCUAAUACCGCAUACGUCCUACGGGAGAAAGCAGGGGACCUUCGGGCCUUGCGCUAUCAGAUGAGCCUAGGUCGGAUCAGCUAGUUGGUGAGGUAAUGGCUCACCAAGGCGACGAUCCGUAACUGGUCUGAGAGGAUGAUCAGUCACACUGGAACUGAGACACGGUCCAGACUCCUACGGGAGGCAGCAGUGGGGAAUAUUGGACAACGGGCGAAAGCCUGAUCCAGCCAUGCCGCGUGUGUGAAGAAGGUCUUCGGAUUGUAAAGCACUUUAAGUUGGGAGGAAGGGCAGUUACCUAAUACGUGAUUGUUUUGACGUUACCGACAGAAUAAGCACCGGCUAACUCUGUGCCAGCAGCCGCGGUAAUACAGAGGGUGCAAGCGUUAAUCGGAAUUACUGGGCGUAAAGCGCGCGUAGGUGGUUAGUUAAGUUGGAUGUGAAAUCCCCGGGCUCAACCUGGGAACUGCAUUCAAAACUGACUGACUAGAGUAUGGUAGAGGGUGGUGGAAUUUCCUGUGUAGCGGUGAAAUGCGUAGAUAUAGGAAGGAACACCAGUGGCGAAGGCGACCACCUGGACUGAUACUGACACUGAGGUGCNAAAGCGUGGGGGAGCAAACAGGAUUAGAUACCCUGGUAGUCCACGCCGUAAACGAUGUCAACUAGCCGUUUGGGAGCCUUGAGCUCUUAGUGGCGCAGCUAACGCAUUAAGUUGACCGCCUGGGGGAGUACGNCNNCAAGGUUAAACUNCAAUGAAUUGACGGGGGCCCGCACAAGCGNGGAGCAUGUGGUUUAAUUUCGAA